UACGUAGGGUGCGAGCGUUAAUCGGAAUUACUGGGCGUAAAGCGUGCGCAGGCGGUUUUGUAAGCCAGAUGUGAAAUCCCCGGGCUUAACCUGGGAAUGGCGUUUGAAACUACGGAGCUGGAGUGUGGCAGAGGGAGGUAGAAUUCCACGUGUAGCGGUGAAAUGCGUAGAUAUGUGGAGGAAUACCGAUGGCGAAGGCAGCCUCCUGGGCCAACACUGACGCUCAUGCACGAAAGCGUGGGGAGCAAACAGG
rnacentral:rRNA from 1 species